GACGUAGGGCGCGAGCGUUGUCCGGAUUUAUUGGGCGUAAAGAGCUCGUAGGCGGCUUGUCGCGUCGUCCGUGAAAACCCACAGCUCAACUGUGGGCUUGCGGUCGAUACGGGCAGGCUAGAGUUCGGUAGGGGAGACUGGAAUUCCUGGUGUAGCGGUGAAAUGCGCAGAUAUCAGGAGGAACACCGGUGGCGAAGGCGGGUCUCUGGGCCGAUAACUGAC
rnacentral:rRNA from 1 species